GCCUAAAGUCUCCAUCAUAUGCUCUUCACCAGAACCUGUCUUAUAAUGGUCAUGGAAACAGGCUUCGGAAGGGAGAUAUGAAAAGCUACCCUUCUCAUUGGUUUGGGCUGUGAAAUGAUGCUGUGCCACAUGCUGGAUGGCAGGAAGAUGGACAGGACGAUCCAGGGCCUCUCUGCUCAUUUCCCAGAGGGCAGGACUCAGUCCCUUGACUAGUGUGAGGAAAUAUUUCCUUUUUUGGGCAGUGGAUGUACACAUAAUUCUGGUUCAUGACUUCACAUUGUCAGUGUGGCAUACGCUUUUUCAAGCUGAAAGAACAGCAAGAAGACCAGCUUAAAAAAAAA